CGCCUUGCCAGCCCGCUCAGAACUUAAAGGAAUUGACGGGGCCCGCACAAGCGGAGGAGCAUGUGGUUUAAUUCGAUGAUACGCGAGGAACCUUACCUGGGCUCGAACGUAAGAUGACUGUAGGUGAAAGCUUACAUCUCUUCGGAGCAUUUUACGAGGUGCUGCAUGGUUGUCGUCAGCUCGUGCCGUGAGGUGUCGGGUUAAGUCCCAUAACGAGCGCAACCCCUACCUUUAGUUGCCAUCAGGUAAUGCUGGGGACUCUAAAGGAACUGCCUACGCAAGUAGUGAGGAAGGCGGGGAUGACGUCAAAUCAGCACGGCCCUUACGUCCAGGGCUACACACGUGCUACAAUGGCCGGUACAAAGGGCAGCUACCUGGUGACAGGAUGCUAAUCUCAAAAGCCGGUCUCAGUUCGGAUUGGAGUCUGCAACUCGACUCCAUGAAGUUGGAAUCGCUAGUAAUCGCGGAUCAGCAUGCCGCGGUGAAUACGUUCCCGGGCCUU
rnacentral:rRNA from 1 species